rnacentral:lncRNA from 1 species
CGUGAAUGGGCCACAACAUCUAAAGGAACUGGGGCACCUGGGAGUUUUCAUUUCCAUUAUUUCACUUGGAGCCAGUGGUUUUCAGAGCGGGGGGCCAGUGGCACCACAGAGCUGCCUGUGGACGCUUCAUCCAAUAUGACUGCUGUCCUUCAAGAAGACAGAAAUGUGGAAACAGACACACAGAGGGAUCGCCAUGUGGGAUGCACAAGGGAACACCAUGAGAGACUGAGUCAGACACUGGAGUGAGCAGCUACAACCCAGGGAACCCCAAGGAAUUGCUGGCCACCACCAAAGCCCAGAGAAGCAGGGCAAGCCUCUACCCAGGGUUUCAGAGGGAGACGGCCUUGCCAGUCUCUUGGUUUCAGACUUCCAGCCCUCAGAUUGUGGGAAAACACAUUACUGCUGUUUUCAGCCAUACAAUUUGUGGUACUUUGUUAGGACCACCUUAGGAAAUGAAUAUGCAUCCUAACAGGACAACUUCGAUUCCAAGUCUCGUGUGGUGGGGCCAAAGAGCCCUUGCCCUGGAGUCACACAGACCCUGAUGUGCAGUGGGGAUCCCACCAUGCUGAACGACUUGCCCCAUUCUCCCAGAGCUACGGGACCACGAUGCCCCCCGUCACAGGUUGGAGGGAAAGAGUGAACGAGGUCCGGGCACGGUGUCUCUCGCCUGUAAUCUCAACACUUUGGAAGGCCAAGAUGCGUGGAUCACUUGAGGUCAGGAGUUUGAGACCAGCCUGGCCAAUAUGGUGAAACCUCGUCGCUACUAAAAAUACAAAAAUUAGCCAGGUGUGGUGGUGCAGGCCUGUAGUCCCAGCUACUCGGGAGGCUGAGGCAGGAGAAUCGCUUGAACCUGGGAGGCGGGGGUUGCAGUGAGCUGAGAUCAUCACACCACUGCACUCCAGCCUGGGUGACAGAGCAAGACUCCAUCUCAAAAUAAAUAAAUAAAUAAAUAAAUAAAGUGAAUGGCAUCAAGUCAGUGA